rnacentral:rRNA from 1 species
UACGUAGGGUCCGAGCGUUGUCCGGAAUUACUGGGCGUAAAGAGCUCGUAGGUGGUUUGUCGCGUUGUUCGUGAAAACUCACAGCUUAACUGUGGGCGUGCGGGCGAUACGGGCAGACUUGAGUACUGCAGGGGAGACUGGAAUUCCUGGUGUAGGCGGUGGAAUGCGCAGAUAUCAGGAGGAACACCGGUGGCGAAGGCGGGUCUCCUGGGCAGUGAACUGACGCUGAGGAGCGAAAGCGUGGGGAGCGAACAGG